GCCACCAUAGCUCAGUUGGUAGAGCAAUGCUUUCGUAAAGCAUAGGUCGUCAGUUCAAGUCUGACUGGUGGCU
rnacentral:tRNA from 1 species